rnacentral:lncRNA from 1 species
CCUUCUGCUUUUCAGUAACUCAUCUACGGAUUCCCGCUUCCCUGAUGACGUGCGUAUCCACGUGAAGUUAUUGAAGGGAAAUUUUUCUUCCUCUUCGCAAUCAUCUUGGUUGAGGAAAGCAGCCUUUUUUUUUCAAAUGAAUUUGAGCCUAGUUCGCAUUGAGAGGCCAUCUCUGCCAAUUUUUUAACACUGUCCAACUUGUGGGAAGAACCUUGUCCACUCUCAACUACAAAACACUACCGCGAUUGCAGUUAUUUACAUUUUAAUCUCAAAGAAUGCUUCUUGUUGAGAAUUACGCCCAUUAACUUGCUUCUUACGAAUUUGGGAAACUGUUACUCAAAAGUGUAGACAGUUUUAGAGAGAGAAGUUUGAUUAUUGGAACUUGAUGGAAACUCUUUUGAUCAAAUUAUCUACAAGAUUUGUUUUCUGACACUGAUGUACAUAUUUGAUUGACUGAAUUACGCAUGAUGCUCUGCACGCUGGGAUGACCUGAAGCUUUGGGCAAGACCAGACAAAUAGCUUGAUCGGGAUAAAGAGAAACCAUGAACAAGAAUAGAAGAGCUCAUCACACUCAUGAGGAAAUAUUUCCUAGUAACCUCCUUGAUCCGAGCACAUUUUGAAUUCAUUUCAUAAUUAAAUUAUAUAAAAUCGAACAGAAACAGAUAUAAAUAUAACUAAUGGUAGGAUCAGAUGAAAGCUUAAAUACCUUUUCUUUGGAUGUCCGCUGCUCCUGCUUGUUGGCUAGGUGUUACUAUUCUCCAUGACUUCCAUAUUGACAGGCAAUUACAAGGUUGAUGUUCAGAGUUCCACUGGGCCCAUGAAACAUCUGAAGUGGAAAGCAUUCUAUGAUUUGAAGCUUCAUCAACAUAAGUCUUUUGAUGUUGAACAGAUCAAGCGACAUAUUAUCUUUGUGAUGUUUAUUGUUCCUUUUGCAGUUAAUAUGAAUUCAUUCUUUGAUUUAACUUUGAGCAUG